rnacentral:tRNA from 1 species
CGGGGCGUAGCGCAGCCCGGUAGCGCACUCGCUUGGGGUGCGAGAGGUCGUGGGUUCAAAUCCCGCCGCCCCGACCA